GUAGAAAUAACUGAUAAUGAAAAGGAAGAGGCACACCCUUUCCCCCAAAUGUUUAGAAUCUAGUGAGCAUCAUGGAGAAUUUCAGCACUUAGUCAUGCGCCUGCAAGCUUGGCCGUCUAUAAAAAGUGCAAAUGUGUAAGUAGAUGUUCACAUACUGCCAUGAAUUAAAAAUUCUCCUUUUAAAUAUAAAAGGUAUGCAUUACAGUGCUAAAGUGGCUCAAGAAAGUAAUUGCUGUGGCAGCUGACAUCUUAGAGAGCACAAUGCCACUACGCUAACUAACCUGGAAAGCUGUUGUGUUAUCUCUGUAGGGAUAAGCCUGGAGUCGAACAUUGUGCAUGCCAAGCAGAUGCUCUACUGCUGAGCUAUGGCGAUUCCCCAUACUUCGUGCUGCCACCUGAUUAAAGAAAUCUUGGGCAAGGCAUCAUUUGUCUCUUCAAUGAUGUGUUCUAUGUUGCAAACUGCCCUUUGGUCUCUUGAUGAAUGGCGGUAUCUCAAGGGCAUAAGCCUGGGCAGUGUGUAUGGAGGUCCUGGGCUGCCCAGAUGACAAGACACCCCCCCCCCCGGCCUCGCUGGUGUGGUCCAGAUCAGAACAAUAUGUUUGGCACCUGCUUGACUGCUGGAAGGAGACAUACAAGACACCGUAGGGACUCCAGAUUUGUACAGCGUUUACUUCUUAGCCUUUUCUUCUCCCAAAGGUAUCCCACAAGGCUACAGAUUGUUCCUCAGGAUUCACUCCCCAAGCUUUUCUCACAAAUGAGUACAGCUGCAAGGUAGCCGAGGUUUAGGAUCAGAGUUUUCCUUCUAGAUGGACUACCUUCCCAGGUUGAAAAGCCCCACCUGCUCAUUUCCUUGUACCGCAUGUGCAGAAACCACCUUCUUGACUGUUGGACCCGCUAUUGCUCUUGACUGCUCAAUCCAGCCAAGCCUGUCUUCACAGGCGGAAGAUAGGUAAGUCCCUAAGUCAUCAAGGGUUUAAGACCCAUCAGCUACCCUCACCUGGUUUAGCAGACCAAAGCCAUUACCCAAGAUGUGGCCACAUUUGCAUACCUACAGCUUCUAGGAGCCACAAAGGGUGCAGGGUGUGGACCAAUGGUGGAUGAAUAAUAACAGUAAAAGUCAAUUCAAUUAGCAAUUAAGCAUUUCUGAAAGGGGAAGUGGCAUAGGUGUGCAUGUUUCCUUUUAGAUAAUGCAUAAAAACAAAGUAUUAGUCAUUAUCAGAGUAUGAUUUAUUGCUUUUGAAGUGAGAUUAGCAGCUACCAAGUGCAGUUAUUUCUACAGGGAUGUAACACAGUGGCAGGGGUCUGCCUCAGUGGGCAGUUGUGCCACUGCACUGUGCACUCACUGCAGCUUCUGGGACAAGCUCAAGGGCAGCCCCACACAGAGCACAAGUCACCAGGCUUUUGAGUUUAGACCACCGAGGGAAACCCUUGGUGUGUAUUAUCACCAGUUUUAAAAGCCAAGAGUGUGUUUGCAUCUUGGAACAAAAUUAUACUAGAAAAAACAAACUGCCUCAUAAUAUGUUAUCGUCAUACUGAGCUGCUAAAGAUUUUGUGAUCUGUUGUGUUCUAGAUGCUGCCUUCAUGUUCACUGAGCUCAGUGUCAAAACAGUGAGAGUAUUCAUAAUUAACCGCCCCAACUGCAGGUCACAAAGGGACGUGUGUGGUGCUUCUUUAAAUCCCUAAAUCUUCUUGCAGAAGCAAAGAUUGCAACAAAAAACCUUGUGCCGACAUGACCCUUGACUGUUACAACGUGCCCAGACCAGGCUCUCUGUGGCAUUUGAAAUACUUAACUCUGAGUUCUGGCAGGCUUGUUACAAAAAGUUGUCUCAUGCUGCCUAAUCUUCUGAUGUUUAUGUUAUUAUUGGUCUCCAAGGCUAUCUUGGGAGAAAUCCCAAGGCUGGAGAAAUAAAUCACCACAAAUUUGAUAACGGAAAAAUUAAGAAGGUCCACCUCCUAAGCAACAUCCUGGACUCUUGGCCUUGGCUCCAGGCGCCAAGAAAGAGCCAGAAAAAAACAUGCUUCAAAGAACUCUCUGGUGUGACUGUCAAUUGGGUCCUGUUAGGCCUGAGGAACCAUCAACUUCAGCAAUGUUCACCAAACAGCAAAGAAGCCCUGGUGGAUCAAAGGACAACCCUGUGGGAGACUUUGUGCAAGGUGCCUGGAACAUUUGAUGAACCACAGUGACCAUCCUAGAGUUGUAGCUCCAUCC